UAACAUUUUUAACGUUUAUUUAAUAUUUAUUUAAUAUUAAUAAAUCGUUUUAAUUAAUAUUUAUGAAAAUAACCAUUUUACAUUUAUGUAACAUUUAUUUUAUAUUUAACGCAUACUAGAGAGAAAUGCUUCCCAAGUAGCAGACUCACGUCAAAAUAACGUCAAGAACUAGUCGAUUGACGUCAAGUGACUAAAUAACGACAUCUUUAAGACGUCUUUUUUGUGACGUUUUAAAGACGUUUCUGUAUAUUCAUCAAGUCGUUUUAAAAUAUCGUCAUCGGUCUGUGACAUUAGACCGUCAUUUUGACGAUACUUUCACGACAUUUUUGUUCAUUCCUUAGUUACUUUUGGUCAUGAACUGAUCAUAUUUGGAUGUCAUUUUGACGUGAGUCUGCUAUCUGGUUUCUUUGUUCGACGUUGAAACGAUAUCGAAUUUAUAUCGUUGUAACGACUUUGAUAUCGAUUCGACAUCGUUUCGAUCAUUUCUCACUGGGUAUUUGUUGCAAUGGUCUUAAUCAGGCCACUUUUCUCAUAUCUUUUAAUGGGUUGUUUGAUUGAUUGGCUGUAGUUAGCCGUUUUCCGACUUGUCGGUUUCGUGCAGUGUUGGGGCACAUUUAGGCCGCAUUUAGGUUUUACAAUACAUCGUUUGUCAGAGUCGAACGUCGAAGUGCAGUUGAUAGUCCAAUGAAAGAGUUUAUUUUUCAUAAACAAGUUCUUCUUAUUGGACCAUCGAUUACGUUCCGAUAUCCGACUUCGACAAACGACAUAUUGUACUGGCCUUUCCCACGAAACAUACGUGCGCGUGCGACAAUCUACGCGGCAUUCCGUUUCACGUAUAUGCAUCAAGCGACACGGUAGUGUCGCGAGCUAAGUGCAGGCGUAAGCAACGGGCUCGCGGUCGAUCGUGUAUAAUUACGCAACGACCUUAGUUGAACGCAGACAUAACGGUCCCGAAUUAUAUGAGUCCGCCAAAUAAUCUUCUCAUUGUUGGAUUAAACGUCUUCGUAUUUCCGAAUAUGUCGAGCGAGAAAUUCAAUCGUCUCGAUGACAGGAUGGCUGUUGAUUUCGAUGUUGAGCUCGUCCAUCCAAUAUCCACGCUGUGCGCAGUAGAUGAUGGCAGGUUACAGUCCACUAGUGUUCCACGUUUCCGGGUUAUUAGAAUCUUAGUUUAGGAGAUAGGAAUAUGGAUUAGUUGGGGAUGGUAAUAGAUAAUUUGUGAUGACAGGAUUUUAGGAGUCGCCUAACGACGUCGACGGGAAUACAUUGACUAGUGAUUUUUCUUUUUACAGAACUAAGUUGCGAAAGUUAUUAACCAAAUUAUUACAUUUAAAACAUGCAAUUACGAAAAAUCGAAUUAUAAAUACGCUUCUCGUUGCCGAUCGAGGCUUCUGCAGUUUGCUCUCAAUUUCGUAUUACUAAUAUCAAAAGAAUUCUAAUGUUUUAUAACGUGUUAUGUUUCAUAAUUGAGUAUGAAAAUUAAACAGCAAAUUAUAUGAAAUAUAAACAAAAUAAAGCGGAAGAAAACAUUAAAUAUCAUAUUUUUUUCUAAGAUUUUAUGGUAAAUAUGAAACAUUAUAACUACUUUAUGCCUUUUAGUACUGAUAUUAUAAAAUAUCUUCAAAAUUAUUAAAUUUAAUAACAGAUUCUUAAUUUUACUCAUCAAAACGCUAUAAAAAAAUUCUUUUUUUCAACUGUGUUCAAUUGUAUGCGCCAUCUUUUUAGCGGUGAUGGCGAUGCAUCGGUAUCUAUUAAAAUAUAUAUAACUCGAAAUAUAAAAUCGGAUUGGCUAAAACUAACGCAACCGCGUUUUCCGAAACUUAUCAUAUUAAAGAUUUUUUUUUAAACGAUUACAUUUUAAUAUAGUAUGUUAAUUUAUGUUUAGUACAUUCUUUAACGUAAACAAUUUCCAGAAAUAUCUGAAAGCUUUUGAAUUUUUUAUGAAUACGCGCAUGUUCAGCGAAUGAAUUAUUCUAAGAAAUUUGUAUAAUACUGAAUUUUAAAUUUUUGUUAUAAAUCGAAAUGUAAUAUCAUACAAUUUAUUCUAGUAUUUGCAUGAGGUGACAUUAGAUUAUUGAAAGACAAUAAAAAAGAUGAAAUAGGGUGAGAUGAUUCUAUGUCUAUCGGUUGAUUCGCAUCUUGAUAUGAUAUACAUAUUAUGUAUAUCAUAUCAUGUAUGAUAUAUGAUUUUACAUUCCAUGGACACUUAUCGUUUGAUGACAGUAGAUUUUGAAGUGGUCGUUGUUGAUGACAAGUUGAAGACAAGUUUGAACGCAUCUCAAUGAAUCUUAGGUCGUCCUGAUUUGUUUUGAUAGAAAUGUAUCAAUCCUUGAGAUUAAGGUAGACGGAUGCCUCCAUAAUGAUUUUACUUCGGAUGCUGUAGGCGUUGGAAAAUCGAUUUUUGUUGCGGGUUUAAUAUGUGGUGAUAUUUUCAGCAAGCGUGAACAUCUGGUGGUUUUGGCAAUUGUUUAUAAAUAAUUGUUAUAAUGGGGCCUUCUCCAUGGACGAAGAUCCUAGUGUGCGCAAGCGUCAGAAGAUCUAGAUAACUGUAUAUUUGCGACUUUCCUUAAACAAAUAAUCAGUGUAAGUGUGUGAUGCAAUGAAAAAUCUAUUUAUACGAUAAGUAAUGAUUCAGGUCUGCAAUUAUUAAGAAAUAUUAAUGCAAAGAAGUGAACGUCUGAGAAUUUCGGUAAGUAUCGAGAACAAUUAUAAAAAGAACUAGACUUUAAUGUGAGGACAGGUUGUUGACCUUAAAGAAAUAAAAUAAUCUUAAUCUUUUUUAGCGUUAGAUCUUAUUCUUGCUCGGUAAGUUUACUUAUACGUAAUCUGUUUGGGUGAACAACUUUAGAAGAAUUACGAACGCGGAUACGAAUGUUGCCAUCUCGAAGAACUUCAAGCAUUUCGUAGGGACCGGAAUAUUGGUCGGAAAGCUUGAGAGAUUGUGUUUGGCGGUGAUUUGCAAGUCACGGAUGCGGGUGAAAAGAUUGGUUAGGUAACUGGAGUGAAGAAGUGGUAGGUUGAGUGAAGAAGUAUUAGGACAAUUGGAAGGCAUUCGGAUGGUUCGACCAAAGAUAAGCUCAUGCGGUAUAAAGCCAGUACCUUCGUGAACACUGAUAUUGUACGCGAAGCUGUUAUAGUUCUAUUAUAGAGUCCCAAUUUCGUUUCUUGUCAAUGAAACAUUUUAUGUAUUCGCAAAGGACGUGGUGAGAUUGCUCAAGUGAGCCAUUAUAUUGAGGGUGGAAAGCGGUGGUUCUAAAGUAUUUAAUUUUAAAUUGCUUGGCGAUCUCUCGCAUUACGCGGCCUGUAAAAUUUGUACCUUGAUCGACUAAGAUAGGACAACCUUUAGGACAACCAAAUCGGCAAAUGAAAUUAUUAACGAAGGUGGCGGCGGUUGCCUCAGUAAAGGGCCAAGAAUGUCGAGAGCAACUUUAUCGAAAGCGACAUCAGGAGUAUCAGUCAGGAUCAUUGGUUGGCGAGUUUUCAAGCGGAUUAAUUUUUUUAGUUGACAUGUACGACAUCGUCGGAUAUAUUCCUGAAUUUGAAGUUUUAAGUGAUCUCAAUAAAAUUUAGUUGAAUACGA